rnacentral:rRNA from 1 species
CUAGCAUAUCAAUAAGCGGAGGAAAAGAAACCAACAGGGAUUGCCUCAGUAACGGCGAGUGAAGCGGCAACAGCUCAAAUUUGAAAUCUGGCUCCUUCGGGGUCCGAGUUGUAAUUUGCAGAGGGUGCUUCGGUGGAAGCUCCGGCCCAAGUCCCUUGGAACAGGACGUCAGAGAGGGUGAGAACCCCCGUGUCCGGCCGGCAGCGCUCCCCCGCGUGAAGCCCCUUCGACGAGUCGAGUUGUUUGGGAAUGCAGCUCUAAAUUGGUGGUAAAUUCCAUCUAAAGCUAAAUACCGGCCAGAGACCGAUAGCGCACAAGUAGAGUGAUCGAAAGAUGAAAAGCACUUUGAAAAGAGAGUCAAAAAGUACGUGAAAUUGUUGAAAGGGAAGCGCUUGCGGCCAGACUCGCCCGCGGAUGUUCAGCCUGCCUUCUGGCGGGUGCACUCUUCCGCGGUCGGGCCAGCAUCGGUUUGGGCGGCCGGACAAAGGCCCGGGGAACGUGGCCCCCUUCGGGGGGUGUUAUAGCCCCGGGUGCAAUGCGGCCAGCCUGGACCGAGGAUCGCGCUCUGCUAGGAUGCUGGCGUAAUGGCCGUAAGCGGCCCGUCUUGAAACACGGACCAAGGAGUCUAACAUCUAUGCGAGUGUUUGGGUGUAAAACCCGUGCGCGUAAUGAAAGUGAACGGAGGUGGGAACCUUAGGGUGCACCAUCGACCGAUCCUGAUGUCUUCGGAAGGAUUUGAGUAAGAGCAUAGCUGUUGGGACCCGAAAGAUGGUGAACUAUGCCUAGAUAGGGUGAAGCCAGAGGAAACUCUGGUGGAGGCUCGCAGCGGUUCUGACGUGCAAAUCGAUCGUCAAAUCUGGGUAUAGGGGCGAAAGACUAAUCGAACCAUUUAGUAGCUGGGUUCUGCGAGCUCCCCCCCUCGGAGAGAAA